GCUUAACACAUGCAAGUCGAACGCAACCUUCGGGUUGAGUGGCGGACGGGUGAGUAACGCGUGAGAAUCUGCCUUGGGGUCGGGGACAACCACUGGAAACGGUGGCUAAUACCGGAUAAGCCUUUGGGUAAAAGAUUUAUUGCCCCAAGAGGAGCUCGCGUCUGAUUAGCUAGUUGGUGAGGUAAAAGCUCACCAAGGCAGCGAUCAGUAGCUGGUCUGAGAGGACGAUCAGCCACACUGGGACUGAGACACGGCCCAGACUCCUACGGGAGGCAGCAGUGGGGAAUUUUCCGCAAUGGGCGAAAGCCUGACGGAGCAAGACCGCGUGAGGGAGGAAGGCUCUUGGGUUGUAAACCUCUUUUCUCAGGGAAGAAGCUCUGACGGUACCUGAGGAAUCAGCCUCGGCUAACUCCGUGCCAGCAGCCGCGGUAAUACGGAGGAGGCAAGCGUUAUCCGGAAUUAUUGGGCGUAAAGCGUCCGCAGGUGGCGAUUCAAGUCUGCUGUCAAAGCACGGGGCUUAACUCCGUUAAGGGACUGGAAACUGAAUAGCUAGAGUGCCGUAGGGGUAGAGGGAAUUCCCGGUGUAGCGGUGACAUGCGUAGAGAUCGGGAAGAACAUCGGUGGCGAAAGCGCUCUACUGGACGGCAACUGACACUCAGGGACGAAAGCUAGGGG
rnacentral:rRNA from 1 species